rnacentral:rRNA from 1 species
UGGGGAAUCUUGCACAAUGGGGGAAACCCUGAUGCAGCGACGCCGCGUGAGCGAUGAAGGUUUUCGAAUCGUAAAGCUCUGUCCUAUGGGAAGAUAAUGACGGUACCAUGGGAGGAAGCCCCGGCUAACUACGUGCCAGCAGCCGCGGUAAUACGUAGGGGGCGAGCGUUGUCCGGAAUUACUGGGCGUAAAGGGUUCGCAGGCGGCAUGGCAAGUCCGAUGUAAAAGGCGAAGGCUCAACCUUCGUAAGCAUCGGAAACUGUCAAGCUUGAGUGAAGGAGAGGCAAGUGGAAUUCCUAGUGUAGCGGUGGAAUGCGUAGAUAUUAGGAGGAAUACCGGUGGCGUAGGCGACUUGCUGGACUUCAACUGACGCUGAGGAACGAAAGCGUGGGUAGCAAACAGG